GCUGCAGCCGGUCUGGCAGUGCAAGCGCGACGGCCUGAAGGUCGGGAGCCGGCAGGUGKCCGGUGGCUCGCCUCGUGCGGGCUAUCGGUUGUUAGCCAUCCCGUCAGUGGCACGUCGCCAGACCGUGGUGUCGCGAGUCCCUCCGGGACUCCUCGUCUCCACCCCGUCAGUUGCGGGACUGACCGUGGCAAGGGUAGAUCGCUCCGACCGUCGCACUCCCACGGAGUGGACGGCUGGACGGAAGGCCCCGUUGGCCGCGGCGGACCCGUCGGGGACCGGAGGCUGGCAGCGAGUAGGUCGGUCACCCACCCGACCCGUCUUGAAACACGGACCAAGGAGUCUAACAUGUGCGCGAGUCAAUGGGUCUUGCUUAGGCCCAGRGGCGCAAUGAAAGCGAAGGU
rnacentral:rRNA from 1 species